rnacentral:rRNA from 1 species
UACAGAGGUCUCAAGCGUUGUUCGGAUUCAUUGGGCGUAAAGGGUGUGUAGGUGGCGCCGUAAGUCAGGUGUGAAAUCUCGGGCUUAACUCCGAAACUGCAUUUGAUACUGCGGUGCUUGAGGACUGGAGAGGAGACUGGAAUUCAUGGUGUAGCAGUGAAAUGCGUAGAGAUCAUGAGGAAGACCAGUGGCGAAGGCGGGUCUCUGGACAGUUCCUGACACUGAGACACGAAGGCCAGGGGAGCAAACGGG